rnacentral:rRNA from 1 species
UAUCAAUAAGCGGAGGAAAAGAAACCAACAGGGAUUGCCCCAGUAACGGCGAGUGAAGCGGCAACAGCUCAAAUUUGAAAUCUGGCCCCCAGGGCCCGAGUUGUAAUUUGCAGAGGAUGCUUUUGGCGCGGCGCCUUCCGAGUUCCCUGGAACGGGACGCCAUAGAGGGUGAGAGCCCCGUCUGGUCGGACGCCAAGCCAGUGUAAAGCUCCUUCGACGAGUCGAGUAGUUUGGGAAUGCUGCUCUAAAUGGGAGGUAUAUGUCUUCUAAAGCUAAAUAUAGGCCAGAGACCGAUAGCGCACAAGUAGAGUGAUCGAAAGAUGAAAAGCACUUUGAAAAGAGGGUUAAACAGUACGUGAAAUUGUUGAAAGGGAAGCACUUGUGACCAGACUUGGGCCCGGUGAAUCAUCCAGCGUUCUCGCUGGUGCACUUCGCCGGGCCCAGGCCAGCAUCAGUUCGCCGCGGGGGAUAAAAGCUUCGGGAACGUAGCUCCCUCGGGAGUGUUAUAGCCCGUUGCAUAAUACCCUGCGGUGGACUGAGGUUCGCGCUCCGCAAGGAUGCUGGCGUAAUGGUCACCAGUGACCCGUCUUGAAACACGGACCAAGGAGUCGUCUUCGUAUGCGAGUGUUCGGGUGUCAAACCCCUACGCGUAAUGAAAGUGAACGCAGGUGAGAGCUUCGGCGCAUCAUCGACCGAUCCUGAUGUUCUCGGAUGGAUUUGAGUAAGAGCAUACGGGGCCGGACCCGAAAGAAGGUGAACUAUGCCUGUAUAGGGUGAAGCCAGAGGAAACUCUG